AGUGAACGCUGGCGGUAGGCCUAACACAUGCAAGUCGAACGGCAGCACAGUAAGAGCUUGCUCUUACGGGUGGCGAGUGGCGGACGGGGGAGGAAUACAUCGGAAUCUACUUUUUCGUGGGGGAUAACGUAGGGAAACUUACGCUAAUACCGCAUACGACCUACGGGUGAAAGCAGGGGAUCUUCGGACCUUGCGCGAUUGAAUGAGCCGAUGCCGGAUUAGCUAGUUGGCGGGGUAAGGGCCCACCAAGGCGACGAUCCGUAGCUGGUCUGAGAGGAUGAUCAGCAAAACUGGAACUGAGACACGGUCCAGACUCCUACGGGAGGCAGAAGUGGGGAAUAUUGGACAAUGGGCGCAAGCCUGAUCCAGCCAUACCGCGUGGGUGAAGAAGGCCUUCGGGUUGUAAAGCCCUUUUGUUGGGAAAGAAAAGCAGCAGGUUAAUACCCCGCUGUUCUGACGGUACCCAAAGAAUAAGCACCGGCUAACUUCGUG
rnacentral:rRNA from 1 species